UGUUUUCAUAUUUUUUGCCGAUACGUACGUUUGCACUUGUAAAUUAAAAAUUGUUUUGAAAAUGAGUUUUGUGCCACUUUGUGAUUACUUUGUUGGUAGGUAAUCAGCGUAUUGCCAUGUACAACAGUACACUACCAUUUUCGGUUGGAAGGUAAUGUGCAACGAUUCCAAAUAUUGUGUGGAUGAUACCCUGAACAGGUCGUCAGGCUCUUGGAUCAUAAGAUGUUUAUUAGCGAAAGCAUUAGAUGUUUUAUUCGAAAAACAAUUACGAGAAUAAAUAAUUUUCAAGGAC